rnacentral:rRNA from 1 species
CAAGCGUUAUCCGGAUUUAUUGGGUUUAAAGGGUGCGUAGGCGGUUUGAUAAGUUAGAGGUGAAAUACCGGGGCUCAACUCCGGAACUGCCUCUAAUACUGUUGAACUAGAGAGUAGUUGCGGUAGGCGGAAUGUAUGGUGUAGCGGUGAAAUGCUUAGAGAUCAUACAGAACACCGAUUGCGAAGGCAGCUUACCAAACUAUAUCUGACGUUGAGGCACGAAAGCGUGGGGAGCAAACAGGAUUAGAUACCCUGGUAGUCCACGCAGUAAACGAUGAUAACUCGUUGUCGGCGAUACACAGUCGGUGACUAAGCGAAAGCGAUAAGUUAUCCACCUGGGGAGUACGUUCGCAAGAAUGAAACUCAAAGGAAUUGACGGGGGCCCGCACAAGCGGAGGAACAUGUGGUUUAAUUCGAUGAUACGCGAGGAACCUUACCCGGGCUUGAAAGUUAGUGACGAUUCUGGAAACAGGAUUUCCCUUCGGGGCACGAAACUAGGUGCUGCAUGGUUGUCGUCAGCUCGUGCCGUGAGGUGUCGGGUUAAGUCCCAUAACGAGCGCAACCCCUACCGUUAGUUGCCAUCAGGUCAAGCUGGGCACUCUGGCGGGACUGCCGGUGUAAGCCGAGAGGAAGGUGGGGAUGACGUCAAAUCAGCACGGCCCUUACGUCCGGGGCUACACA